rnacentral:rRNA from 1 species
GUGACAGUGCGCCCGGCAGCGGGGGGAAUACGAACCUGGGGAACGUGGUGCGGGAGCACUGGGCGUGAAGGGGGCGUAGGCGGGCUGUCAAGUCCGGGGGGAAAUGUUUCGGCUCAACCGGAAAAGUGCCUUGGAUACUGAUGGUCUGGAGGGAGGUAGGGGUAUGUGGAACUUCCGGUGGAGCGGUGAAAUGCGUUGAUAUCGGAAGGAACGCCGGUGGCGAAAGCGACGUACUGGACCUCUUCUGACGCUGAGGCGCGAAAGCUAGGGGAGCGAACGGGAUUAGAUACCCGUGUAGUC